UACGUAGGGGGCAAGCGUUGUCCGGAAUUAUUGGGCGUAAAGCGCGUGUAGGCGGUCCGGUAAGUCCGCUGUGAAAGUCGGGGGCUCAACGUCCAAGCUUGCAGUCGAUACGGGCAGGCUAGAGUUCGGUAGGGGAGACUGGAAUUCCUGGUGUAGCGGUGAAAUGCGCAGGAUAUCAGGAGGAACACCGGUGGCGAAGGCGGCGACCUGGUCCGUGACUGACGCUGAGGCGCGAAAGCGUGGGGAGCAAACAGG
rnacentral:rRNA from 1 species